rnacentral:rRNA from 1 species
AACAGGAUUAGAUACCCUGGUAGUCCACGCCCUAAACGAUGUCAACUAGUUGUUGGUAGAGUAAAAUCUAUGAGUAACGCAGCUAACGCGUGAAGUUGACCGCCUGGGGAGUACGAUCGCAAGAUUAAAACUCAAAUGAAUUGACGGGGGCCCGCACAAGCGGUGGAUUAUGUGGAUUAAUUCGAUGCAACGCGAAAAACCUUACCUGGCCUUGACAUGUACGGAACUUUCCAGAGAUGGAUUGGUGCUCGAAAGAGAACCGUAACACAGGCGCUGCAUGGCUGUCGUCAGCUCGUGUCGUGAGAUGUUGGGUUAAGUCCCGCAACGAGCGCAACCCUUGCCAAUAAUUGCCAUCAUUUAGUUGGGCACUUUAUUGGGACUGCCGAUGACAAAUCGGAGGAAGGUGGGGAUGACGUCAAGUCCUCAUGGCCCUUAUGGCCAGGGCUUCACACGUAAUACAAUGGUCGGUACAGAGGGUUGCCAAGCCGCGAGGUGGAGCCAAUCCCAGAAAGCCGAUCGUAGUCCGGAUUGCAGGCUGCAACUCGCCUGCAUGAAGUCGGAAUCGCUAGUAAUCGCGGAUCAGCAUGUCGCGGUGAAUACGUUCCCGGGCCUUGUACACACCGCCCGUCACACCAUGGGAGUGGGUUUUACCAGAAGUAGGUAGUCUAACCGCAAGGAGGACGCUUACCACGGUAGUAUUCAUGACUGGGGUGAAGUCGUAACAAGGUAACC